rnacentral:rRNA from 1 species
UUGGAGGGCAAGUCUGGUGCCAGCAGCCGCGGUAAUUCCAGCUCCAAUAGCGUAUAUUAAAGUUGUUGCAGUUAAAAAGCUCGUAGUUGAAUUUCGGGAUCAGAGUGUCGGUCGUGCCUCGGUACGCACUGGUAUUAUUGGUUCCUACCUUCUGAAGAACCGCGAUGUCAUUAAUUUGGUGUCGUGGGGAAUCAGGACUGUUACUUUGAAAAAAUUAGAGUGUUUAAAGCAGGCUUACGCUUGAAUACAUUAGCAUGGAAUAAUGAAAUAGGACGUUUGAUUCUAUUUUGUUGGUUUCUAGGAUUGACGUAAUGAUUAAUAGGGAUAGUUGGGGGCAUUAGUAUUCAAUUGUCAGAGGUGAAAUUCUUGGAUUUAUUGAAGACUAACUACUGCGAAAGCAUUUGCCAAGGAUGUUUUCAUUAAUCAAGAACGAAAGUUAGGGGAUCGAAGACGAUCAGAUACCGUCGUAGUCUUAACCGAUAAACUAUGCCGACUAGGGAUCGGAUGAUGUUAAUUUUUAAUGACUCAUUCGCGCUUACGGGAAAC